rnacentral:rRNA from 1 species
CGGAGGGUGCAAGCGUUGCUCGGAAUUAUUGGGCGUAAAGGGUAGGUAGGUGGUCUCAUUUGUCUGGGGUGAAAGCCUUGAGCUUAACUCAAGAAGUGCCCCAGAAACGGUGAGACUGGAGUCCUGGAGAGGGUCGUGGAAUUCCCGGUGUAGCGGUGAAAUGCGUAGAGAUCGGGAGGAACACCAGAGGCGAAAGCGGCGACCUGGACAGGUACUGACACUCAACUACGAAAGCGUGGGGAGCAAACAGGAUUAGAUAUCCUGGUAGUCCACGCUGUAAACGAUGGGUACUAGGUUUGGUGGGUCUUGACCCCCGCCGAACCGGCGCUAACGCAAUAAGUACCCCGCCUGGGAAGUACGGUCGCAAGACUA